UACAGAGGUCUCAAGCGUUGUUCGGAUUCAUUGGGCGUAAAGGGUGCGUAGGUGGCGGGGUUAGUCAGGUGUGAAAUCUCGGAGCUCAACUCCGAAACUGCACUUGAUACUGCCUUGCUUGAGUACUGGUGAGGAGAUUGGAAUUUACGGUGUAGCAGUGAAAUGCGUAGAUAUCGUAAGGAAGACCAGUGGCGAAGGCGAAUCUCUGGACAGUUACUGACACUGAGGCACGAAGGCCAGGGGAGCAAACGGG
rnacentral:rRNA from 1 species